AACUUUUAAAGGAUAGGAGCUAUCCGUUGGUCUUAGGAACCAAAAAUUUGGUGCAACUCCAAGUAAAAGUUA
rnacentral:tRNA from 1 species